GUAGUUAGCCGGGGCUUCCUCCUCAAGUACCGUCACUUCCUUCGUCCUUGAGGACAAAAGUUUACAAUCCGAAAACCUUCUUCCUUCACGCGGCGUUGCUGGGUCAGGCUUUCGCCCAUUGCCCAAUAUUCCCCACUGCUGCCUCCCGUAGGAGUCUGGACCGUCUCUCAGUUCCAGUGUGGCCGAUCACCCUCUCAGGUCGGCUACCCAUCGUUGCCUUGGUGGGCCUUUACCUCACCAACUAGCUAAUGGGACGCGAACUCACCCCAAACCGGAUCGCUCCUUUUACCUCAACCCCAUGCGAGGUCGUGGUCUUAUGCGGUAUUAGCACCUGUUUCCAAGUGUUAUCCCCCUGUCUGGGACAGAUUGUUCACGCGUUCCUCCACCCGUCCGCCGCUAACAGUAUACAACCGAACGACCAACUACUCGUCCGCUCGACUUGCAUGUGUUAGGCACGCCGCCACGCGUCGUCCUCGAGCCACUGAUACAACUACUACGA
rnacentral:rRNA from 1 species